UACGUAGGGUGCGAGCGUUAAUCGGAAUUACUGGGCGUAAAGCGUGCGCAGGCGGUAAGUUAAGUCUGAUGUGAAAGCCCCGGGCUCAACCUGGGAAUGGCAUUGGAAACUGGCUUGCUGGAGUGUGGCAGAGGGGGGUGGAAUUCCGCGUGUAGCAGUGAAAUGCGUAGAGAUGUGGAGGAAUACCGAUGGCGAAGGCAGCCCCCUGGGCCAACACUGACGCUCAUGCACGAAAGCGUGGGGAGCAAGCAGG
rnacentral:rRNA from 1 species